GUGAUGGGUAGAUUAAGUGGUCAUCAAAGGGAUCAUAGGCAUGAGUGCGCAUGAGCCCAGAAAAGUUUGGAAGUUUAGGAUUAUUGGAAUUUCGGAAUUUCGGAUUUUUAGAGACUUUCGAAUUUUUUAACUUUGUCAGUUUGAAAUUUUGGAACUUCGGAAAAUAAUUGCCCAUCACUGAUACCUGCUUUGUGUCACUUCUGUCAUCAUAAAAUAACACGGACUCAGAUUGAACAUGCUGUAGUCCGGAUUGCCAGUGACUUCUUUCUCGAUUGUCAGGAACUGUGGUAGUAUAUUCUUGAGCUCGUCUCCGGUUAAUGCUGUGUACGUUUCAAGCAACAUCAAUCCACGGCACCUAUAAACAAUUACAUCCUUAACUCGUUGUUUGUCACAACAUUUUAAUAAAGAUCUUUUUCUAUGCAUAACGCUUA